rnacentral:lncRNA from 1 species
GGGGGGCAGGGGUCCCUCUGCCUCCCAGCCCCUUGACUCAGCAAUAAACUACUGAUAACAGGAAAGCCUGGAUUUUAGUUUAAAUCCUGCCCCUGAUUGAACCCGGGUAAGUCUAGACACAUCUCUUUUCAUACUUUGGGCUCGUUUAGAGCCUGCCGUGCUCACGGCCUGCUCCGUGGACUUCUUUCUUUCUGUCCCCGUGCUGAGCCUGGUAUACCAGAUGCUCAAAGGAAGCUCUGGAAUUAGUUGUGGCUAAGUCUGCCGUGAUGAUAAGGCAUUCCCGAAAUUGCUCUCAGACGCCAGCGAUCCGUCUUUCACUGUUGGAUCAGUUGUUUGCUGGUGGCUUGGGGUGGUCCAGUUACAGGUGUGUUUAUCGGGGUUCAUGGAGACGCCGGGCGUCUCGGGUGGCUGAUGUGUGUCUCUCCUUCAGAGUCUGGGUUUCUCCCAAGAAGUCGGGGAAUCUCCUGCGAUAACGGGACUUACAGAAGUUCCUGUCAUGGCUCGUUGGAAAUGAACCUGACAAGUACCCAUGUGGACGCGCUUUCCAUCUCUGGCCUCCCUCAGUGGGUUAAGGAUCCGGCGUUGCCAUGAGCUGUGGUGUAGGUUGAAGACGUGGCUGGGAUCCUGCGUGGCUGUGGCUGUGAUGUAGGCCAGCAGCUGUAGGUCCGAUUCAGCCCCCAGCCUGGGGAAUUUCCAUAUGCCGUGGGUGCGGUGCUAAAAAGCAAAAUAAUAGUAAUAAUGACGAUGAUGGGACUUCCUAAGAAGAAACAGAGGGCAUCUGGCCGGGGGAGGGGGUGGGCACCACCAGAGCAGGCUUCUUUUGUGGUUGCAGGUGUGGGGUGGGCCCCCAUACCCAGUGACAUAGGCAUCUCUUGGGGGGAGGUGUAAUUCUAUUUUUAGUGCAUUUAAAAUAUUUCCUUUAUCUUUGAAGAUAACAGGCAUAUGUGCUCCAUGUAAGCAAAUUAUAGAAAAUAAGGAAAACUUAGAAAAACAAAACCCACCUCCAGUUUCACUUUAGAGAACAGCUGUUAACAUGUGUUAACAUUUAUGGGGUUUUGAUGCUCUCCUUUCUGUCAUGUUCCUUUCUGGUGGCUUUAAAAUUCGGGUAAACACUAUCUAAGAGUCUGCGGGGCAUUCCCAUCGUGGCGCAGUGGAACUGAAUCCGACUAGGAACCAUGAGGUUGCGGGUUCCAUCCCUGCCCUUGCUGAGCAGGUUAAGGAUCCGGCGUUGCCGUGAGCUGUGGUGUAGGUCACAGAUGCUGCUCAGAUCUGGCAUUGCUGUGGCUGCGGUGUAGGUCAGUAGCUGUAGCUCCAAUUCGACCCCUAGCCUGGGAACCUCCAUGUGCCACGGGUGCAGCCCUAAGAAAAAGAAAAAAAAAGGACUUUGCAGUUUGCACAAGAUUCAGGAACCCCUGUGCCACAUGGGAAACUGGGGCACACCGGCUAGCAUCCUGAGGCUGGGAAGCUUCGUGUGGCCUCGAGUUCAGAGUUCAGCCUUCUGUCCGCGAUCCCGUGGGAAAGCCGGAUCUCUCUGGGAGCCAGCGAUGGAGCGGCUCUGAGUCUCACCGAGGCCGAGCUCCCGCCUCGAGCCCCAGCACCUCCUCUCCUCCUGAAGCAGAAGCGCAGAACUCCAUCCCUUGCAAAACUCAGGGCGUGAGCGCGACAUCGCGGGGGUCAGCAAGGCGGGUCUGACUGUCCAGUGGGCACCUCCUCCUGGACCCGUGGCUCAGGAGCAGACCCAGUGGAGGGGACUCCGGGCUGCAUCCCGGUGCGCUGGGCAUCCGCUGCGUGGCCUCCUGACAGCAGGGCCCCCCCGCCCCAGAGCCCAGCUCUGCUUCCUUCCUUCCCCGUCUCCUGUGCCCACUCGCUUUGAAUCCCUGCAGGACAGGACCCUGCCCUGCGGGGUCCCCUCUGCUCUGCGCCCCCCACAUCAGCCGGCCGUGCUGAGCCUCCGUCCACCGGACAGCUCAGGGGAUGGACCCACAAGCCCUGUCUGCUGAGGGCGCUGGGCGUGCCUGGGUGGUAACAGGACACGACGCNNNNNNNNNNNACGACGCUGCGCGGUGGAGGCCACGCUCCCAGACGACCCGCUCUCCCAGAGGACUGGGGGCAUUCCCAGGCUUUGCAGGGAGAACCUGGCCGGCUGCCGGAGGUGACAGGGUGACGCCCGCACAGCUGCCAGGUGAGAGCCCUGUUUCUGCCCCAGACUGCGUUCAUCAAGGUCGCUCUGCGUUUCUGUCAUGGUUUUUCCUCUUUGCCACACCUGCCCCCUGAACUGACCAUGUUGCUGGAGGCACAGGCGGAGGAGCAGAAGGAGCCCCCCCCAUCUGCCACCAGCUUCGCACGUGGAGCUGUGCCAGCUGUCCUCCGCCAACCCCUCCAGCCUCAUCCCAGGAACACUUGCCCUUGAGACUCAGCUUCCUCAUCCAGAAUGUGGGUGUGUGCUCUGUCCGGCCCAGUGGGCAAAUGUCAGAAUAAAGUGGGGUGACUUUUCCCAUAAAGCCCCGUGGGAAGCAGGCUGCCGUCCUGUUGGUUUCUGAGGGCUUUGCGAUUCCUUCUUACAUAUGCCCUUCAGCGGAGAGUCUUGCAAAUGUUCACUGCUUAGUUUUGCGAAUGGAACCAAACCAAACCCUGAAGAACCUGGACUGGUCUUUGGGAAAGACCCUCCCCGCAAGAGGUGGCAGCCGUUUCCCGAUUUGUCUUUCCACAGAAGCGUGUGUGUGUGUGUGUGUGUGUGUGUGUGUGUGUGUGUGUGUGUGUCUGGUUUGAUACAUAAACAUUUUGGCAUGAGCUUGGCUGUUUUCUUAUGGACUGAACACACAGUGUCAUCCAUAGAACUGUAUUUGGAACGGCAGUCUUGGCGAUGCUGUUGUAUUACCGAGGCUGUAUUUAGUCACUUUGGGGCGGGUCCGAGGUCUGGCAGGAGGUGCGUCGCUCUUGCGUGUAGCCUUCCUCUGAAAGGUUGCCAAUUAGGGUGACCAUCUUUCUGUGAUGUGAGCGUUUUCUUCACAUGAAACAGACUUGAGAGUCAGAGUUAUUUCACAUGUUGAUGUGCUUACAGCUCCCGCCCGAACGCUCAAAACCAACUUAAUUCCACUUAGUCUCCUUACAAAAAAUAAGAAUAGUCAAUCCCACGAGAAAUAUGCAGAUCGGUUUCUUGCGUAUUCCCCCUCUCAAGUCUGAUGCGUCCUGUGAUCAAAAACAAGCUAGAAAAUGGAGUGCCCGUUGUGGUGCAGAGGGUUCAGCGUCCUGGCACAGUGGGUUAAGGUAUCUGGUGUUGCCGAAGCUGUGGUGUUGGUCCCGGUGAAGCUUGGAUUCAGUCUCUGGCCCAGGAACUUCCAUAUGCUGCGGGUGUGGCAUUAAUGCUAACAAAACCAACCGACCAACCAAACCAACCCAAACCAGAAUGGACUGUGCGCAGGCCAGUGGUUCUGUGAAGCCACAUGCCACAGGCGGGUUCAGAGGUUUGUCCUGUGCUGCAGCGUUUGCAACUGGCCCCCAGGAUGGUGUGAGUUUCUCUGAGCUUGUCCACAGCCAGCUUUAAAGACAUUAUUCUGGAAAAGCUGUCACGUGUGUGUGUCUUGAUCUCUGUGUCUGAGUCUGUCUCUGUCUCUGGCCCUAAAUCCAGCUGUGCUGAUUAUGGAACAGGCCAGGCGAGGCUGUGGUCUGAUUGAAGCGAAAGAUAAGUUUGUGUGGCAGAUUAUUUAUUUUACAAAAGAAUUAUUCUAGUCAAAGGAGUUCAGCAAGAACGUCUCAGAACAGUAAACUCUCUUAGGGCUUUUAAAAUCCGAUUAGCCUGCCCAAGGCUUGGUUUUAACGCGCUUGCGCAGGAAACGGUGACCACGUGUAUUUCUAUGUCGGGCGAUUUCGUUCCUGCUGGUCGGCAUCUUCGCCUCCGCUCUCUCGUUUGCCAGUGGACCGCCAGGACCCCCUUCACGCCCCCUCUGGGGGUGAUGCUCACUCUCUCUCCCUCCGGCCUCUCCUUUAUUCUCUGCUGAAACCUUGGGGGACUCCUCAGUCACCAGACACGCCCGCGCUCCCCUGGCCCCUGGCCGUCGCCUCAGCCCAGCCCUUCUCGGAGCCUCAGAAUCGGCGGCCACGGACCCGCUCACUGCGCUUGCUUCAUUUCAUGGUGAUUGAAGUUCAAGCCCAGCCAUCGAGCAAAACCUCGGAGGCCCUGGUGCCGUUUGAAACGGGCCUCCCUCGUGUGACCUGGUUUAUUCUGCGCUGAGGGUCUGGGGGAGCAGAGGUCCUGUCGGCUUCCUUUCUGGAGUGCCCGCCACUGUCCAGAGUGACCAGUGCUCCCUAAGUGAUGAAAGCAGGAGCAUGUUUAUCCUUGUCAUCCGUCCGUGGGGCUCCUACUGCGGCGCAGCCGCCACUCUGGAUGGUAUCUCCAGGAAGCCAAAUCCUAAGAAAACAAAGCUGGAGGCACAGACUUAGAGUGGGACGUUUUCUUCCAGCUGAAGCCCUGAGUGUCUCCCCUGGUAGGUGGUGGAAACGUGUAAUUUGCCCUUCAGAAGAGGCCCGGAGGCGCUUGAACGGUGUCACGUGUCGCUCAUCCAUUCGCAGUGAAACGACGGUAACAGUGUUGGGCCACAAAACACAUGAGCUGUGCUCCGCUGUCCGUCUCCCAGACGUUUGCUGGGUCCCUGCUCCUCGGGCCUCGAGCUUGGCGGGGAUUACAGGCCCGAAGGAGCAGGGCUGGGCUCUGAGCUCGUGCCUUUCUUUGUGGGAGGGUUUUGUCCACCUGCAGCUUGUCUAGUAACUAACUCUGAGCGUCCACUUCCUUAAGGGAGGGUUCCUUCUUGGGAAGGUUCUUCCUCCUGUCCUCCUGUCCUCUUUCUUCCAAUCCACCCGUCAGUGCACGUGGAACAUUCCACAAAACACAGUGAGGAUGUGGUACGAAGACAGAUGGAAGUUUGUUUCUGGCCCAGAGGGGAGGGUGUGAGCUGGUGGCUUAAAGGACCCGAGUCCCGCAGGAGCCCUGACGCCACACCUGGGGGGGACGUGCUGCCUGGGGGACAAGGCCGGCGGCCUCUGCACGGGACAUCGUGGGCGUCCCUAUUCCUCUCUUUUGAUGAUUUCUGUGCUAGUCAAACAAAGAUGUACAGAACCACAGGGCAUGUAAAAGUCCCUUUAAGACCACGCUUCCCCGUCCCUCGGCUGAGGCAGGAUAGAAGGACCAAGUUCAAUUGUGGUUUGUACAGAAAUGUGUCCUUAGGGCAUCCACGAACUUGUCCUUGUGGGAAUGCAGUCGCUGAUGUGUAAAAUUCUUAAUUCCAAAAAAAAAAAA